AUUGAACGCUGGCGGCAGGCCUAACACAUGCAAGUCGAACGAGUGGCGGACGGGUGAGUAAUGUCUGGGAAACUGCCCGAUGGAGGGGGAUAACUACUGGAAACGGUAGCUAAUACCGCAUACCAUCUGAUGUGCCCAGAUGGGAUUAGCUAGUAGGUGGGGUAAUGGCUCACCUAGGCGACGAUCCCUAGCUGGUCUGAGCGGAUGACCAGCCACACUGGAAGUGAGACACGGUCCAGACUCCUACGGGAGGCAGCAGUGGGGAAUAUUGCACAAUGGGCGAAAGCCUGAGGCAGCCGUGCCGGGUGUAUGAAGGGGGCCUUCGGUUUGUAAAGUACUUUCAGCGAGGAGACGUUACUCGCAGAAGAAGCAUCGGCUAACUCCGUGCCAGCCGCCGCGGUAAAC
rnacentral:rRNA from 1 species